CUCAGAUUGAAAGCCGUCCUCGAAAGCCCUUACACGUGACUGAAGAUGGCACCAAUGGGCAUCUGAAGUUAUUACCAGAACUAUCCUGUACUUUGACUCUAUGUAGAUUUUGAAGCAUCAGUGGCUGUACCAAAUGCUCGGAAUGCCCUUAGGCACCUAAAGGAAUUUGUGAUGAUCUUAAGAGUGCUGGGUAGUUAUCCAAUGGACAUGAGCCAGGCAUAAAUGACCUGAAGGGAGGUGAACACACCUAUGCAUAGAAUUUAGGGACAAGGAGACAAAAGCUGUUUAAAAAGGGCAGGAUCUGCUUCAUCCAGUCAACACUGUUUGAGGAACAUAUAGUUGUCUCAAGGAUUGAAAUGGAGAUAUGGUGUGAUGAGGCAUAGUGGUUCUCUUUUGCCUAGAGGUUUGAUAUUACUGCCUUGCCAUUAUUCCUAUUCUUUUUAUCUGGGAGAAACUGAUAUCCGGCAGUUAAUUUCUGUAUUGGUUUGUGUUGAGCCUGUCUGCUGAUUCCACAAUUGCUGCAACUGCUAAUCUCCUCCAACCUUUACUUGUUGGGAGGGUUGAAUGCUCUUGUUCUUAAGCACAACAACCCGGAAUUUUCAUUGAUCGGAGACAUCGGAGUAUAUGGUUCUAGAAAAGAUUAUCCGUGCAUUUAAUUAAGUCAUGCAUCAAAAUCAAACCAGUCAAGAAAAUCUUCCUUUGCUUGCUCUGGGAAUUGAACGCGGUUGAGAUAAUACAGUACUUUUUCUAAUACUCUGAGACUCUCAGAAAAUUGCAGGGUUGUCGUGUUCCAACCACCAAACAGUGCAAUCUGUCACCCUCAGAACAAAAGGCAUAGGGCCGUAGCCCUUUUCUUUUUCAAAGCCGAAUGGAUCGGCAUCUUUUUCGGAUUAUAUAUAUGCACACGUCAUGGUGGCUAUGAUGGAGUGGACAUGUUGUCUCCUGGAGUGAUUAAUUUGAACAGCUGCUGGAGCCGAACUGUGCUACAGGUAUGAUGGUAGCAUGUUCGAGGGCCAGAUUGUGUUCGCUACGACCCUUAAGAGCUUCAUAGAGGGACCUGUAUUUGAUCUGGCAGCAGACUGGUGCUGCUGCUGCUGCUGCUGCUGCUGCCAAUCCUCAUGGCCCCCUGCUUGUUAUCAUUCCUCAUGGUCCUUCUUAAUGGGUAAUCCAGGUGUAAUCAUUCCUCUUUCAUGAUUGCUGAUGAUCUAAUGACAUUGUGGAUUUGGGUUUGAGUGCCAAAUCUGUUGUCAGAAAGUGGCAUUGCCUGCACAGGAGAGCAGCACGGUAAGAACCGUGCCAAAGAGCCUGCUAGAGUGACUGUUUUCCUGUUGUCUUGCCAAUGCGCCUGAUGUUCCUGCCACCUACCGGUCGGAGCGCCGUGGAUUUCAUUUUCUUCUUUUUCUUCUUCUCCUUCUUCUUGUUGUUUUUGUUUUUUAAUAGAACGGAAGGAUAAUAUCAUUCUAGUGUCAAUACAUCCUAUAAAAUUCGAAAACAAAAUAUUAUGAAACAUGCAAGAGAACAUAUGCAAAAUCAACCUACAAAGAGCUACCGUCCGCGUCCACAGCGAGCGCCGUCCAAAUGUGAGCCGCUUGGAAUAAUACAGUGCAGCUCGAAGGUGGGAGUGGUCGAGGAGCAUUAAAAAAAGUGAGAAAGGCAUGGAUUCCGGUGCAUUGCGUCCGCCAUGACUAGAUGGAGGGGAGCCCACCUUGAUUCAUGGACGUUACUGAAAUAGACUGGUUGGAUCUGAUUGAUGGCCCCACUGGAGGCUAGUGGUUUGUAUAUUUCCGCAGAACCUGAAAGGUAUACACAAAGGCCGGCUUAAUCCUUAGGCCCUCCCCUCAAAUGCACUUAUUAUUGUAAGUUCUAAGGCGAGCGUCUAAAUGCAUCAAGGGCCUCGUAUUUUUAUAGCUAUAAAUGCAUUGAGAUCCCUAAAUGUAUUUAUGUUAGGACGUAUUUCUUACCUAAAAAAAUUUAUUAUCUUUUUUUUUAUUUA